GCCGCGAUUCGCGCUAUCUGCCGGCCGUAAUCCGACACAACGUUCGCCGUCUCAACUGAACGUGCCGCGGCGACGCGCUGUACGCUGUAACGUUCGUUUUUCCUCCCAACGACGGUUUUCUGCGAACGCGGACACUACGUUCGUUUUCUGCCGCGUUCUUCGAAGACUCGCAACACGUGUAACGUUGUCCGAACAUUUCGAACUCGCACGUGAAACUUAGACGUCAUGACGACGUCGUACGACCGUAUAACCAGGAAUGCCGGUAUUGAACCGAGCGAAAAAAUGAUUAGUUUAAUGGUUCGGUUCGACGGAAGAAAAUUAAUGUCCACGACCGCUUGUAUAUGUUUACAUACGUUCAGGGCCUGCGCUAGUGGAAGGUGACCCGUGCCUACGCUCGGGGAGCUUCGGCAAUAUUGAAACUGAAAAAUAUAGUUAUCGUUCGUAAUCGCUCUAUAUUUAUAAUUAAGAUUUAUUAUUUCAUCAAUAGCGAUUCGUUGCGAUUAUCAUUAUCGAAAAUGUUUGCAUUAUGACACACGAUAAUACCUUAUUUGAUUGUAUGGUUGACACUUAAAAGUUGUGUUCAGUGUACGACGUACGUUUGCUUCGUUUUACUCUACACGUAUAUAUUACGUUCCAACAAUUUUUAAGAUGGUGGUGAAGUGGAGGAAUAGAACGGAGAUGAACGCCGAGUUACGUAAAGAACGAGAAGUGGAAUCAAUACUUUUGAGUCUGUAUUGCAGUUCAAAAAGUUUCCCGAGAGACAGAUUACAACGCGAAACAAGUGUUGAGUGGAGGUAAAAAAAUAAUAAACGAGGAACGGAUUUUAAUAAAAAAAAAGUCCACGUUUACGAUCGCACCGAGAAACGCAGCCAAACAUUGUCUUUCGCUUAACACCAUCCGGGUUAGUUGACCUAACCAUACGAGUCCUCGGUUUGAUCAGCGUUUCCCAACCGGUAACCCAAAGGUUCCGUGAGCAGCAGCGAUAAAACGGUACCGCAAGGGAUAUGGAAAAAGAAUAAAUAACGAUUUCGAUUCGAACGAACGGACUCGAGUCACGGACUCUUCUCGUUCGGGACGUUGUCGUACAAUAAUUUUUUUUGGCCCGAGAUAUUUAACACCUGGUGUUAUUGAUCAUAUUCGACUUGAAAAGAAAAAAGAAAAGAAAAAGGAGCUUGGAAACGUUGGUCGUUUUCGAUUGCGUGCACUGCGAAACAUCCGACCCGAUGCGAGUUUUGCCGGUGGUCAACAAGUGCACGACGCGGACACGGUGUUCGAACGGCGAACGCGCAGUUGUGAUUUCGGUGUACACCCACGGACGUGUAACUAGAGCCCAAAUAUCGGGGGUGCUGAAAAUAAAAAUUAAACGGUAUUCAACUGCGAUCACACUGUAGAUAACGUAAAUCUGAAGAAAAAAAAAAGAAAGCACGAGUGCUACAAUUGAACUCGGGGGUGCUGCUAAAAACCCUGUUGCACCCCCCCCCCACCUAGUUGCGCCCAGUGGCGUAGCCAAGGGGGGGCUAAGGGGGCUAUAGCCUCCC